rnacentral:rRNA from 1 species
AUGGCGAGCGCCGCGCCGCCGCCGCCGGACGCGGAGCCGCCCGAGUGCCCGGUGUGCCUCUCGCCCUUCGACGCCGCCUCCGUCGUGCCGCGCGUCCUCCCGUGCGGCCACUCCCUCUGCGGCUCCUGCAUCUCCUCCCUCCCGCCGGCCUCCGCGUCGGCCGCGGCCUCGUCCCUCCGCUGCCCGCUCUGCUCCCAGUGCGUCCCCUUCUCCCGGGCCCUCGGCCCCUCCUCCCUCCCCAAAAACCUCGCCCUCCUCUCCCUCCUCCCCUCCCUCCCCAACCCUUCCCCGCCCCGCACCGCCGGCGCCGCAUCCGCCUCCGCGGCGCGACCCCUCCCUCUCCCGCUCCAUGCCGCCCACUCCCGCCUCCUCGCCCGCUUCCGACACGCCAUCCUCCCCGAGUCCGCCUCCCCGCUACACUCCUCGCCGCCCGGCCACCCUCCCGCCGGCCUCGCGCUCGGGUCGAUCGCCUGCGACCUCGGAGCCCCCUGGUUCUGCUCGCGGGGACACCCCGUAAGCCUCCUCCCGAUCGAUGCUCCCGUCAGCGGGGCGCCGUUGCAGGAGCCCGCGUUCUACCGGCCCAGCCACGCCGCGCGGGUCAUCGCCGCGAUCGACGCGCUGAGCAGCGCCGCGAGGGAGGAGAUGCUCGAUUUGGUGGCCGCCUCCACGCGAUUGGCGCGGCGGGUGUGCGGGGUUUACGGCGCCUGGAUGGGCCCCGAGGCGGCAACGCUGUGGCUGGUCUCUGAACGGCACACGCCGGGAGUCCCCCCCUUGUUGAAUGAGAGGAGCGACGAACUGGAAACUGUGGCUCGGAUUGGAGCUGUUGGAAUGGAGGUGUGUGAAGCGCUCAUGGGAUUGCACGGCGAGGGGAUGGUGCUGGGUUGCCUCCGGCUGGACUGCUUCCGCCUUGAUCAUUUUGGGCGCUGCCUGCUCGACUUGAAUGAGGUUUUGGCCUUGUGCCGUGGAGUCCGGGCAGGGGUUUGCUUGUCCAUGGACGGGGCUUUGGUUGCUCCCGAGAUGACGGCAAUUCUGAGGGACGCCACAUGGAUGAGGAGUCAUGAUUUCGAUGGCUUGAUAGGGCGUAAUUCAGAUGUUUGGUUGCUGGGUUGUAUAUUGGUGGCGCUUGUUACAGGAGACGAGCGGCUUGCGGCGGGGUGGAAUACUGAUGGAUCAUAUGAUGAUUGGCAGAAGGAAGUGCUUGCGAGGCUUGACGCUGCAUUGGUUGGUACGCAGUUAGAACCAUUGGUUGCAACUACAGCGUUAUGCUUAAGCUAUGAACCAGAAAGCCGCCCAGAGAUUGCUGAUGUUUGGAAAUGUAUCAGAGGCUCACAGAUGAAACCUGGUGCUGAUGCUUUGGCUCCUGCUGAUGAUAUUGUAGCUCAGAAAAGUUUUAGGUGCUUGCUCCUCGGGGAGUUGUCCUCAAUGUGCUCCGCCCAAGCUGCUGAGUCAGAUGAUAUAGUGCAGCCCUCUCAAGAUUCUGAUGACAAAAAUUCAACUCCAGAUGAUGAAAGCAAUUGUGGUUUCUCGAACGGUGAGUCUGUUUGCACAGCAGGAACAGAUGAGCCACAGCGUAAUGGAGUGUUUAAAUCUUCAACUCUGCUUGCUCACCGUGACUGCGUCACAGGAUUAGCCAUUGGAGGGGGAUUUUUGUUUAGUUCUUCCUAUGACAAAACAAUCAAUGUAUGGUCACUGCAGGACUUCUCUCAUGUGCAGACUUUAAAGGGUCAUGAGCACAAAAUCACAGCAAUUGUUGUUGUUGACAAUGAUAACCAGUCUCUUUGUGUAAGUGGAGACAGUGGCAGUGGAAUUUUUGUCUGGCGUGUUGGUACCUCUCUCAAGCAAGAACCGUUGAAUAAAUGGUAUGAAACUAAUGAUUGGAUCUACCGGGGUGUUCACUGCUUGGCUGUGUCUGGAACCGGUUAUCUUUAUACUGGCAGUAGAGACAAAUCUAUUAAAGCUUGGUCUCUGGAGGAUUAUUCACUUGGAUGCACUAUGAUAGGCCACAAAUCAACCGUGUCUUGCCUUGCAGUUGCUAGCGGUAUUCUUUACAGUGGAAGUUGGGAUGGUAGUAUCCGAUCAUGGUGGCUUACUGAUCACAGCCCGUUGUCUGUACUUGAAGAUGAUGCACCGGGAAGCAUAGCCCCUGUGUUGUCAAUUUCAACAGAAGCUAAUUUUGUUGUUUCAUCAUAUGAAAAUGGCUGUUUGAAGAUUUGGAAGGAUGAUGUCCUCGUUAAGUCAGAGAAACUUCAAAAUGCUUCUAUUUACGCUGUUAAAUUGAACGGUAAAUGGCUAUAUACCGGUGGAAUGAAUAAAGCCAUAAAUAUUCAGGAGUUACUAGAAGACAAGUCAGAGUUGGAAAUCAGAGAUGUCGCUUCCAUCUCUUGUGAUUCAAUUGUAACUUCAAUAUUGUACUGGGAUGAAAAGCUGAUAGUUGGACUCUCUAACAGGGAAAUUAAGGUUUACGACAAGGGUUCUUAG